GACGUAGGAGGCGAGCGUUGUCCGGAUUCAUUGGGCGUAAAGAGCGCGCAGACGGCUUGGUAAGUCGGAUGUGAAAUCCCGAGGCUCAACCUCGGGUCUGCAUCCGAUACUGCCCGGCUAGAGGUAGGUAGGGGAGAUCGGAAUUCCUGGUGUAGCGGUGAAAUGCGCAGAUAUCAGGAGGAACACCGGUGGCGAAGGCGGAUCUCUGGGCCGGUACUGACGCUGAGACGCGAAAGCGUGGGGAGCGAACAGG
rnacentral:rRNA from 1 species